ACGGAGGGUGCGAGCGUUAUUCGGAAUUACUGGGCGUAAAGCGCGUGCAGGCGGUUAUGCAAGACUGAUGUGAAAGCCCCGGGCUUAACCCGGGAACUGCAUUUGAAACUGUCUUUCUUGAGUACUGGAGAGGAAGGUGGAAUUCCCCGUGUAGCGGUGAAAUGCGUAGAGAUGGGGAGGAAUACCAGUGGCGAAGGCGCCCUUCUGGACGGUUACUGACGCUGAGACGCGAAAGCGUGGGGAGCAAACAG
rnacentral:rRNA from 1 species